AAUUGCAAUGGUUCGUCAAAAAAAAAUUGCAAUGGUUGUUACUAUACCAGUCCAUUGAGUUCCUAUGAACACGAUGAACAUUACAAGUAAAAGUUAGUAUUAAAAAAAAAAUCAAAUAAACAGCACUUUGAUUUCAUUGAUGACAAAUCAAAAUACAUCGAAGCAGCAGAUGAAAUAAAUGAAAUGAAAUGCAGAGCACCUACCAUGAACUGAAUAUAAAGUUUA
rnacentral:lncRNA from 1 species